GACAGAGGGUGCAAACGUUGUUCGGAAUUACUGGGCGUAAAGCGCGUGUAGGCGGCUUGGCAAGUCGGGUGUGAAAGCCCCGGGCUCAACCUGGGAAGUGCACUCGAAACUGCUUGGCUUGAGUACUGGAGAGGGAAGCGGAAUUCUCGGUGUAGAGGUGAAAUUCGUAGAUAUCGAGAGGAACACCGGUGGCGAAGGCGGCUUCCUGGACAGUUACUGACGCUGAGACGCGAAAGCGUGGGUAGCAAACAGG
rnacentral:rRNA from 1 species